UUUUUAGCAAAAAAAUAUGAAACCAUUUAUGAUUGCAAGCAUUAGCUAUUAUAAGGUGACAGAUUCAUAAAGGAAAAGUUGAGAUGAAGCAGCUAUGUGAUUUUCUUUUCUAGAUUUCCAACAACAUAUCUUUUCCAACCAAAAAGAUAAAAUAUGUCCAAUAGCUGGCUCAAGCAAGUAGUGAACUGAUUUUGGUCAGAAUAAACCAAUCGAUCCAACCCUAGGAUUAGGCAUGUCUUCUCC
rnacentral:misc_RNA from 1 species